rnacentral:snoRNA from 1 species
AAAGAGGAUGUUAAAGUUAACAUUCCUGCCUGAUGCCAUCUUCCUAGAUUGAAUCUGUCAUUUUUGUGCUCGCUGAACGUUUAGAUUGUUCUGCUAGCCUUAACAGGCAGGACAUGAGU